rnacentral:rRNA from 1 species
UACGUAGGAUCCGAGCGUUGUCCGGAUUUACUGGGUGUAAAGGGUGCGCAGGCGGACUGGUAAGUCAGUGGUGAAAUCUCGUCGCUUAACGACGAAACUGCCUUUGAUACUAUCAGUCUUGAAUCCGGUAGAGAUCUGUGGAAUUCCGAGUGUAGCAGUGAAAUGUGUAGAUAUUCGGAAGAACACCAGUGGCGAAGGCGACUCACUGGACACGUAUUGACGCUGAGGUGCGAAAGCGUGGGGAGCAAACAGG